GAUGAAGAACGUAGCGAAAUGCGAUAAGUAGUGUGAAUUGCAGAAUUCAGUGAAUCAUCGGAUCUUUGAACGCACAUUGCGCCCCUUGGUAUUCCAUGGGGCAUGCCUGUUCGAGCGUCAUUUGUACCUUCAAGCUUUGCUUGGUGUUGGGUGUUUGUCUCGCCUUUGCGUGUAGACUCGCCUUAAAAUAAUUGGCAGCCGGCGUAUUGAUUUCGGAGCGCAGUACAUCUCGCGCUUUGCACUCAUAACGACAGCGUCCAAAAGUACAUUUUACACUCUUGACCUCGGAACAGGUAGGGAUACCCGCUGAACUUAAGCAUAUCAAUAAGCGGAGGA
rnacentral:misc_RNA from 1 species